CUGGGUGUGAACUUGGAAGAGACGGGUAUUUCUCGCGGUGCUAACCGAAUAUCAGUUCAGCUCAGAAGUCUACUGUGUCAUACUUAAUGUUUUAAAGGUGAAUCAUAAGCCAAGCUCUAAACCACUGCAGGUCUGACUUUGACGGUUGAGGCAAAUUCAGUGACACAUUCAAAGGCUCCUGGAAACACCUGAGACUGACAGACACAGCUCUGAUUCGGCCUGAUUCUCAAGGUUGAUGACCACAGCCAUACAUGGAAAGUGGUGGGAAUUUGCGAUGAUCAUGGCCUGCAAUUUGAGCCCCAUGCCAGACCCUAUUUUUGUUUUGCCAGAAAUUCAAAAUCAUUACCACACAUAAAAAUAAUAUAUGUAGUUAUCUGCACACAAUAUGAGAUGGAAUCAUUUUAUUGCCUGUCUGACUUCUUGGCUUCACUGCUUGCUGUAUAAUCUUGCUGAUAAGUUAACUUUAAAUAGUAAUCAUGUAUUUUUCUAAUUUUCCUGGUUAUAUACAGUACUGUAUAUAUACGUUUAUUUCUAUACAUUUUUGUUCUCACAUUUAUACUGCUUUUGUGCUAAAAUGGACUAAAACAUAUUUCUUUACUUUUUCCUAUGUCUCUGUUUAGGGCUAAUAUGUUUUUUUUUUCUGUAAAGCUGCUUUGCAACAAUGCA